GUGCCUUUGCGAGAGCGGAGUUGGGUUCUCCUCAGCACAGACGCGGAGAGCAUCGCGAGGGCGGAGCUGCGUUCUCAUCUGCACAGAUUUCAGUGGUACUGCGAAGGCGGAGCAGAGUUCUCCUCAGAUGAUGAUUAUUCCCCACCUUCUAAGAGACAAAGACCAACGAGCCGCCACAGCCACCAGUCCCAGAACCCGCCAAUGCUGGGGAACGGAAAAUGAGGGAGUUCAACUCUGGCCCUCACAAUCCAGUGGAGGAGACGCAACUCAUCUGCCUCUGUCCCUCUGGGCACGCCUCGUGCCAGGUGCAUCUGUGGACAGGGGCCAUGCUCCUGGGCUUCCAAAGUUGGAGAAAGCUGCCAGGCUCAGGUCUGAAGGCCAGAAUUCUACAGUAAGUCCUACUGAGUCAAGGUGGGAGCAGGGUCGGUAGCUUCCGAGGCUCUGCGGGAGAAUCUGUUUCCUGGCCGUAGAGGUGGCCUGCACUCCUCAGCCUGUGCUGCCCGUCUCGAAUGACUGGAGUUUCCUGCUUCUGUCACUACACCUCCCACCCUCUCCAUCACCUGCUCUGCUCUUACAAGGAUCCGAAGAAAUGGAAUCAUCGUAUCGCUGAUCUACGUAAACAAACUGAAGAAUUGUCUGAAAGAAAAUAUGACAUGAACUUAUGAAUUCAAUAGGUGAAGAUUUACAACUUGAUAAAUCAACUUUGUCAGCUCGAGCUGUAAAAGCCAAAGGUCCGGUGAUGAUCCCAUACCCUUUUUUCCAGUCUCAUGUUGAAGAUUUUUAUGUAGAAGGCCUUCCCAAAGGAAUUUUUUUUUUUUUUUUUUUUUUGAGAUGGAGUUUUCACUCUUAUCGCCCAGGCUGGGGUGCAAUGGCACAACCUUGCUGGUCACUGCAACCUCUGCCUCCUGGGUUCAAGAAAUUCUCCUGCCUUAGCCUCCCAAGUCACUGGGAUUACAGGUGCCCACCACCACACCAGGCUAAUUUUUGUAUUUUUAGUGGAGAUGCGGUUUCACCAUGUUGGCCGGGCCAGUCUCGAACUCCUGACGUCAAGUGAUCUUCCCGCCUCGACUCCUGAUAUCAAGUGAUCUUCCCGCCUCGGCCUCCCAGAGUGCUGAGAUUACAGACGUGAACCCAUGCCUGGCCAGGAAUUUUGUUUUUUAGGAAGGCUUUCUACUAAUGGAAUUCCUGGCCUUGAGAGGAUGUUACUUUAGAAGGAAAGGAUUUUUUUGUUAUUAAAAGAGCCACCUAAGCUGAAGAUUCCCUUGAGAACAAGUACUGUCCCUAGUUUCCCAGUGCUGGAAUAUAGAAAAUGGAUGGACAAGUAAAUCCCACUCAGCACCCAUAGUCCCGGCAUGGGGACCUCAACACACCUGAGCCCCAGACAUCACCUUUCAUUGCGAGUAGCUCUGGACCUACCAUGAAAGACUUCUGAAUCCAGGAAGAGAAACUGACUGGGCAACAUGUUAUUCAGAAACAGGACCUUGCCCUGUCACUCAGGAUGGAGUUCAGUGGUCCUAUCAUGGCUCAUUAUAGCCUCAAACUCCCAGGCUCAAGCAAUCCUACCAUGUCAGCCUUCCCAGUAGCUGGAACUACAGCUGGAUCUACCAUGAAAGACUUGUGAAUCCAGGAAGAGAGACUGACUGGGCAACAUGUUAUUCAGGUACAAAAAGAUUUGGACUGUAACUUAAAAAUGAUCAAAUUAUGUUUCCCAUGCAUCAGGUGCAAUGGGAAGCUCUUCUGGAGAGUGAGAGAAGCUUCCAGUUAAGGUGACAUUGAAGCCAAGUCCUGAAAGAUGAGGAAGAGUUGUAUGAGAGUGGGGAGGGAAGGGGGAGGUGGAGGGAUGGGGAAUGGGCCGGGAUGGGAUAGCGCAAACUGCCCGGGAAGGGACACCAGCACUGUACAGACCUGAACAAUGAAGAUGGCAUAUUUUGUUCAGGGAAUGGUGAAUUAAGUGUGGCAGGAAUGCUUUGUAGACACAGUAAUUUGCUUGUAUGGAAUUUUGCCUGAGAGACCUCAUUGCAGUUUCUGAUUUUUUGAUGUCUUCAUCCAUCACUGUCCUUGUCAAAUAGUUUGGAACAGGUAUAAUGAUCACAAUAACCCCAAGCAUAAUAUUUUGUUAAUUCUCACAGAAUCACAUGUAGGUGCCACAGUUAUCCCCAUUUUAUGAAUGGAGUGAUGAAAACCUUAGGAAUAAUGAAUGAUUUGCGCAGGCUCACCUGGAUAUUAAGACUGAGUCAAAUGUUGGGUCUGGUCUGACUUUAAUGUUUGCUUUGUUCAUGAGCACCACAUAUUGCCUCUCCUAUGCAGUUAAGCAGGUAGGUGACAGAAAAGCCCAUGUUUGUCUCUACUCACACACUUCCGACUGAAUGUAUGUAUGGAGUUUCUACACCAGAUUCUUCAGUGCUCUGGAUAUUAACUGGGUAUCCCAUGACUUUAUUCUGACACUACCUGGAGUUAGCACAGACCCCACAAGUUAGGGGCUCAGUCCCACGAGGCCAUCCUCACUUCAGAUGACAAUGGCAAGUCCUAAGUUGUCACCAUACUUUUGACCAACCUGUUACCAAUCGGGGGUUCCCGUAACUGUCUUCUUGGGUUUAAUAAUUUGCUAGAACAGUUUACGGAACUCAGAAAAACAGUUUAUUUUCUUUUUUUCUGAGAGAGAGGGUCUUAUUUUGUUGCCCAGGCUGGUGUGCAAUGGUGCAGUCAUAGCUCAUUGCAGCCUUGAUUGUCUGGGUUCCAGUGGUUCUCCCACCUCAGCCUCCCUAGUAGCUGAGACUACAUGCCUGCACCACCACAUCUGGCUAGUUUCUUUUAUUUUUUGUAUAGAUGGGGUCUUGUUGUGUUGGCCAGGCUGGCCACAAAUUCCUGGUCUCAAGUGAUCCUCCCACCUCAGCCUCUGAAAGUGCUGGGAUUACAGAUGUGAGCCACCACAUCUGGCCAGUUCAUUUCCUAUUACUGGUUCAUUGUGAAGGAUACAUCUCAGAAACAGUCAAUGAAAGAGACGUGCAUGCUGGAUGCAGUGGCUCAUGCCUGUAAUCUCAGCACUUUGGGAGGCCAAGGUGGGAGGAUCGCUUAAACUCAGGAGUUUGAGACCAGCCUGGGCAACAUGGUGAAAACCUGUCUCUAUAAAAAAUUAAAAAAUAAUAAUAAUAACUGGUGUGGUGUUGUGCACCUAGAGUUCCAACUACUAGGGAAGCUGAGAUGAGAGGAUACCUUGAGCUGGGGACUGGGGAGGCUUAGGUUACAGUAAGCUGAGAUUGUGCCACUGCACUCCAGCUUGGACAAAAGAGCCUGAUCCUGUCUCAAAAAAAAGAAAGAUACCCAGGGAAAGUUAAGUUCGGAGGGGCACAGAGCUCCCAUGCCCUCUGUUGAACAUGCGACCCUCCCAGCAUCUCCUGUGUCCAGCAACCCUGAAAGCUCUGCACACCCCUUUCAGGGUGUUUAUGGAGGCUUUAUUAUGCAAGCAUGAUUGAUAAAACCUUUGGCUGUUGGUGAUUAAGUCAGUCUCCAGCCCCUCUUCCCCCUGGAGUUCAGUGCAUGAGGCUGAAAGUUCCAAGCCUCUUACCAUGUGGUUUCAUGGUAAUCAGCCCUCCUCUUGAAGAAAUUUAGGAGCUUGCAGUCACCCAGUCAUCUCAACAACAUCCCCAAAUGCAUUCUUACCAUGCUGGAGAUCCCAAAGUUCUUAGAGGCUCUUGUGUUAGAAACCUGGGACCAAGACCAAAUAUUAAAACAAAAGAUGCUCCUGUCACAUCUAUCACUGAGGUCUUUGUAAGAGCUUUAGAAGCUCUGUGCCAGGAACCAGGGACAGAGAUUAAAUAUAUAUUUCUUUUCUUUUUUUUGAGACAGAAUCUCCCUGUGCCAUCCAGGCUGGAGUGCAGUGAUGUGAUCAUAGCUCACUAUAGCUUUGGCCUUCUGAGAUCAAGCAAUCCUCCCAUCUCAACCUCCCAAGUAGCUAGGACUACACACGCAUGCCACCCAUGCCCAGAUCAUUUUUGUAGAGUCAGAGUUUCACCGUGGUGGCCAGGUUGGCCAUGUUGGCCAGAUGGGGUCUUCUUUUGUUGCCCAGGCUGGCCACAAAUUCCUGGGCUCAAGUGAUCCUCCCACCUCGUCCUUGUAGAGAUGAGAUUUAGUUAUGUCGUCCAGGCUGAUCUCAAACUCCUGGGCUAAAUCGAUUGUCUCACCUCAGCCUCUCAAGUAUGUUAUGAAGGUUAUAUGUUAGGAAGGGUCCCAGGAGGUAAACCCACACAGAUGGGAUUUGGGCAUAGGUUUGGUUUCCCAGGGGGCAGUGCUGAGCUCUUUGCCAGUGGGAAAUGGGAUGCUGGUGAUUUCCAGUAGGUGACCUCACAGUGACUCAAGCUACCACUUACUGUUGAUUGUGACGAAAUGCCAGCUGAGGCACAUGCCUUGGGAGCUAAGUGGUUGCUGCCCUUGACCACUGUGAAGACUGGUGUGGGAAGGGUCGUUUUGGAUGCACUUGAGCAGGGGUCCCCAACCCCUGAGCCAUGGAGCCGCAAGGAGCCACACAGCAGGAGGUGGGAACAUCCAGUUGCAGGAAAACAAGCUUAACACGCCCACUGAUUCUACAUUAUGCUCCUACCUCCCGGCAGCCUCUCCAGGCCCAGAACUUUCUCCAGUCAGCCUCUACAGACCAAGCUCAUGACUCUCAAUGGCCUAUUUAGGCCCAUACCCUACGUCACGGCAGCCUCCGCAGAUGAGGCUACUGCCUCACAACAGCCUCCACAGGCACAGCUCCAUCGUUACAAUGGCCUCUUUAGACCCAGCUCCUGCCUCCCAGCCUUCUCUCCAGGCCCUGAACUUUCUCAGUAAGUUCAGGUAGCUGGGACUGUAGGGUCUCCCUCUGUUGUCCAAGGCUGGAGUGUAGUAGUGCUAUCGCAG